rnacentral:rRNA from 1 species
UACGUAGGGGGCAAGCGUUGUCCGGAAUCAUUGGGCGUAAAGAGCGUGUAGGCGGCCUGGUAAGUCCGCUGUGAAAGUCCAGGGCUCAACCCUGGAAUGCCGGUGGAAACUGUCAGGCUCGAGUCCGGAAGAGGCGAGUGGAAUUCCUGGUGUAGCGGUGAAAUGCGCAGAUAUCAGGAGGAACACCAAUGGCGAAGGCAGCUCGCUGGGACGGUACUGACGCUGAGACGCGAAGCGUGGGGAGCAAACAGG